rnacentral:rRNA from 1 species
UACAGAGGGGGCAAGCGUUGUUCGGAAUUACUGGGCGUAAAGGGCGCGUAGGCGGCCUGUUAAGUCGAACGUGAAAGCCCCGGGCUCAACCUGGGAACUGCAUUUGAAACUGGCGGGCUUGAGUAUGGCAGAGGGGGGUGGAAUUCCGCGUGUAGCAGUGAAAUGCGUAGAGAUGCGGAGGAACACCGAUGGCGAAGGCAGCCCCCUGGGCCAAUACUGACGCCCAGGCACGAAAGCGUGGGGAGCAAACAGG